GAUGAACGCUGGCGGCGUGCCUAAUACAUGCAAGUCGAGCGAACGGACGAGAAGCUUUCUUCUCUGAUGUUAGCGGCUGACGGGUGAGUAACACGUGGAUAACCUACCUAUAAGACUUGGAUAACUUCGGGAAACCGGAGCUAAUACCGGCUAAUAUUUUGAACCGCAUGGUUCAAAAGUUAAAGACGGUCUUGCUGUCACUUAUAGAUGGAUCCGCGCUGCAUUAGCUAGUUGGUAAGGUAACGGCUUACCAAGGCAACGAUGCAUAGCCGACCUGAGAGGGUGAUCGGCCACACUGGAACUGAGACACGGUCCAGACUCCUACGGGAGGCAGCAGUAGGGAAUAUUCCGCAAUGGGCGAAAGCCUGACGGAGCAACGCCGCGUGAGUGAUGAAGGUCUUCGGAUCGUAAAACUCUGUUAUUAGGGAAGAACAGAUGUGUAAGUAACUGUGCACAUCUUGACGGUACCUAAUCAGAAAGCCACGGCUAACUACGUG
rnacentral:rRNA from 1 species